rnacentral:rRNA from 1 species
CCUACGUGAGGCAGCAGUGGGGAAUAUUGCACAAUGGGGUAAACCCUGAUGCAGCGACGCCGCGUGAGCGAUGAAGUAUCUCGGUAUGUAAAGCUCUAUCAGCAGGGAAGAAAAUGACGGUACCUGAAUAAGAAUCCCCGGCUAACUACGUUCCAGCAGCCGUGGUAAUACGUAGGGGGCCAGCGUUAUCCGGAUUUACGGGGUGUAAAGUGAGCGUAGGCGGGGCGGUAAGUCUGAUGUGAAAGCCCGGGGCUCAACGCCGGGACUGCAUUGGAAACUGUCGUGCUGGAGUGUCGGAGGGGCAAGUGGAAUUCCUGGUGUAGCGGUGAAAUGCGUAGAUAUCAGGAGGAACACCAGUGGCGAAGGCGGCUUGCUGGACGACAACUGACGCUGAGGCUCGAAAGCGUGGGGAGCAAACAGGAUUAGAUACCCCAGUAGUC